rnacentral:rRNA from 1 species
AACAUGGGGUAAUACCGCAUAAGCUCUCUUUUUCAUAAGGAGGAGAGAGGAAAGGCGCUUAGGGGUCGUCCGGAGAGGAGUCUGCGGUUCAUUAGUUAGUUGGUGGGGUAAAGGCCUACCAAGGCGACGAUGAAUAGCCGGCCUGAGAGGGUGAACGGCCACACUGGGACUGAGACACGGCCCAGACUCCUACGGGAGGCAGCAGCUAAGAAUCUUCCGCAAUGGGCGAAAGCCUGACGGAGCGACGCCGCGUGAACGAAGAAGGCCUAACGGUUGUAAAGUUCUUUUCUUGGGGAGGAAUAAGCCUUGCAGGGAAUGGCAGGGUGAUGACGUUAACCGAGGAAAAAGCCCCGGCUAAUUACGUGCCAGCAGCCGCGGUAACACGUAAGGGGCGAGCGUUGUUCGGAAUUAUUGGGCGUAAAGGGCGCGUAGGCGGCAUAGCAAGUCAGGUGUGAAAGAUCUCAGCUCAACUGAGGAAACGCGCUUGAAACUGCUGUGCUGGAGUCUAGGAGGGGAAGCUGGAAUUCCUAGUGUAGGGGUGAAAUCUGUAGAUAUUAGGAAGAACACCGGUGGCGAAGGCGAGCUUCUGGCCAUAGACUGACGCUGAGGCGCGAAAGCGUGGGGAGCGAACAGGAUUAGAUACCCUGGUAGUCCACGCCGUAAACGAUGUGCACUGGGUGUCGGCCCGUUGGGGUCGGUGCCGAAGCUAACGCGAUAAGUGCACCGCCUGGGGAGUAUGCUCGCAAGGGUGAGACUCAAAAGAAUUGACGGGGGCCCGCACAAGCGGUGGAGCAUGUGGUUUAAUUCGAUGAUACGCGAGAAACCUUACCGGGGCUUGACAUAUGUAGGACAGCGUUGGAGNNANC